rnacentral:lncRNA from 1 species
AAAACAUUAUUUUAUAAAGGUGUAAAUAAACAAAGAUUAUUUGAGUAUGUUUUGCAAGACAUUGCUAUUUCAGUUAUACUACUUAAAAAUGUAAAGUUAAAUUCAAUGUGUUACUUAUUCUGUGUAACUGUUUGUUACAUUUACUAGCAAAUUCUGAGUGAAAAUUGUUUUAACACUUAAAAAAGAAUCACACUUAAGUUCAGAUAAUUGCAAUUAACAUGCAGUUAAGUGUUUAAAAACGUUAUCCAGUUUGAACUUUUAAAAUUAGUAUAUAUUAUAAUAAACACUCUUUUUAAAAGUAUGCUACUUCUUUUUCACAAGGGAACACUUGGACAUAACCUGUAAUUUGUAUAUAAAUUAAUAUGUAUGUAUCAAAUGAAAAUGUAUGGAGCCAGUAAUUCUAAGCACAGACCUUCGUAGGGGGACAGAAAAAUAUUCCCUUCUAUUUCUGCCAGCACAUUUAGCUAUAUAUUGUCACUUUGUGGUAACGUUUUAACAUCACACAGCUGCACUUCAGUGGAGGAUGUGGUAAUGGUCUCUACUUUCUUUAAAGAGGUCAUAUGAUGCAAUUUCUAUUUUUUCUUUCUCUUUGGAGUGUGACAAGCUCUUGGUGCAUAAAGAAGAUCUGUAAAGUUGCAAAUACUAAAGUCUCAAAUCCAAAGAGAUAUUCUUUAUCAAAGUUCAGACUCUAACACGCCCCCCUAAAACACCUCAUUCAAACACGCCCCCACAUCUCUAUGUCACUAUGUGUAAAUAUUUGUAAUGCCGCCCAAAUGUUCACGCAAAGAACGAAGGCUCGGUUUCAGUAACCGCAGUUAGUGUUGAAGUAGCCAUGUCAGGGAGAUGCUGUGUGUAUCUAGGCGAAAGCAAAAUCACUUUAUUUGGCCUUCUGAAAGUAGAUGCAUUUAGGAAUCUUUAAGAUUACGUACAACAGAACAACAACGCAUUUUAUGGACUGCCGUUUCGUGAACCUAGGAGAGGAGGUAAUUCUGACUUUGCUACGACAAUCUGGCGCUUCUGAAUCCGCUACUGUGAACUGGUGGAGCCUCUGCUUGUCUCCUGCACUUACCCUGAGGACUAUCAAAGCUGGAUCUUCCAGUUACAACAGGCAAGACUUCAGUCGUUGUAUUUUAGCUAAUGAUCAUUACAGCAAAACAAAUAACUUCAAUGUUUACCACAGUUUACAAGAUGCAAAUGGGCCUACACCCUAA